rnacentral:lncRNA from 1 species
UAUCGAUCUUGCUAAGAAUUCAUGGAUGUCAUUAGACUCUAACGGAAGCAAAUCAAGUUCAUACUCUUCUUUCGUAUGUGCACACACCUCUGUCUUCACCCGUGGUCCUUGAAAUGUUGACUGUUAGAGAACAGAGGACGUUAAAUUUUUGUGAUGUUGUGUUAUGUGGACAAUAUUUAAUCCAGUUGUUAAUGCUUGGGCAGGCACAAAGGUUUGAUACAAGCAGCUUCUCAUGCUCAGAAUAAGAUGGAUGGACCGCCAACUGUUGAGGAUGAUAUUUGUUCAAAAUCGGGAAGCAAUUCUUGGUAGACUUUAAGUAUGUAGUUACGUUUUGAUAUAUUAGCCGAAUCUUCUCCCAAAGAAAAACACCUCCCAUGCGAGGAGCCUUUGAUGAACGAGUAUGUCAUGAAUAUCCUUGUACUGUCUUUUCAUACUACCUUCGUCCAAGUGUAUAGGACAUGCGCGUAGUUUUAGGUUAUCAAUUUAACUAGCUAAAUAUAUAUUAUAUACGAUAAAAAUUAUAUAUUAAAAAACUACAUCUUCGCAUGAAUCUAAUGAUAUAUUAUUUGUUACAUAUAAUACAUAUUUAAAUAGUUAAAUUAACGAUCUAGAACUACACGCAUACCCUAUACACUUGGACGGAGGGAGUACUAUUAAUUAGAGGGAUCCAUAUUUAUAGGAUCGGGAUAACUCCCUCGCGCAGGGGCGACUCGGGCGGAUCCCGCACAGCCGCCACCCAUUCCUCUUCUGAUCUUGCUCCCCA